GACAAAUAAGGUCACAAAGUCAUAGCUAAUUGGGAAACGAAGUGGGAAGGCCCAGACAGCCAGGAGGUUGGCUUAGAAGCAGCCACCCUUUAAAGACAGCGUAAUAGCUCACUGGUCGAGUCGGCCUGCACGUAAGAUUUAACGGGGCUAAGAUAUGCACUGAAGUUGCGGAAUAUAUUUAGUAUAUUGGUAGGGGAGCGUUCUGUAAGCCUAUGAAGGUGAAUUGAGAAGUUUGCUGGAGGUAUCAG
rnacentral:rRNA from 1 species